GCUUCGACGGGUAGCCGGCCUGAGAGGGUGACCGGCCACACUGGGACUGAGACACGGCCCAGACUCCUACGGGAGGCAGCAGUGGGGAAUAUUGGACAAUGGGCGGAAGCCUGAUCCAGCAACGCCGCGUGAGGGAUGACGGCCUUCGGGUUGUAAACCUCUUUCAGCACAGACGAAGCGCAAGUGACGGUAUGUGCAGAAGAAGGACCGGCCAACUACGUGCCAGCAGCCGCGGUAAUACGUAGGGUCCGAGCGUUGUCCGGAAUUAUUGGGCGUAAAGGGCUCGUAGGCGGUCUGUCGCGUCGGGAGUGAAAACCAGGUGCUUAACACCUGGCCUGCUUUCGAUACGGGCAGACUAGAGGUACUCAGGGGAGAAUGGAAUUCCUGGUGUAGCGGUGAAAUGCGCAGAUAUCAGGAGGAACACCGGUGGCGAAGGCGGUUCUCUGGGAGUAUCCUGACGCUGAGGAGCGAAAGUGUGGGGAGCGAACAGGAUUAGAUACCCUGGUAGUCCACACCGUAAACGUUGGGCGCUAGGUGUGGGAUCCAUUCCACGGGUUCCGUGCCGCAGCUAACGCAUUAAGCGCCCCGCCUGGG
rnacentral:rRNA from 1 species